UGAAUUUUGAGGGACACCAACUGAAACU
rnacentral:piRNA from 1 species